CCAGCAGCCGCGGUAAUUCCAGCUCCAAUAGCGUAUAUUAAAAUUGCUGCAGUUAAAGCGUCCGUAGUUGGAUUUCGUCCAAUUCGGAGGGACGCCUGUCUGACUUCGUGUUAGUCAGUGCACCUUCUGUUUAGGACUCGGGUGGGAUAGCUUCGGCUGUACCGCUCUGUUACUUUGAGCAAAUUGGAGUGCUCCAACCAGGCUAUAGCUUAAACAGCUCAGCAUGGAAUAACAAUAUAGGACUGUGAUCCUCCUUGUUGGUGACGUGGAACACAAGUAAUGGUUGAUAAGGACAUACGGGGGCAUCUGUACUUGCUGGAGAGAGGUGAAAUUCUAAGACCCAG
rnacentral:rRNA from 1 species